AACUUAAUACUAUAAAGACCAUAUUAGAAAUCUGAAGCAUGACAAAAAUGUAACUCUCUGGCCUCAACUGACUAGUGGACCUACCAGACACCUACCGGACUGCAACAAUUGUUUCACGUGAUCUUUCAGACGAGAGCAAAUGUCUUCCUAAAUAGAAAAAAAGUUCAGGAAGUCAUUUUCAUAAAGAGUUUUAAUA